rnacentral:lncRNA from 1 species
AGAAAGAGGGGUGUGCCUGUCAGACAGAGGAGUGGACUCCUCCACUCAUGUACAGAGUCCCUGUUUGACUCAACAUGUGCUGUUUUUCAUGGGUUUAUAACUCUCCGAAGCCGCAUUGAACACAAAGAGCUGUUGGAUUUCUUCCUUAAGAGGUAAAUGAAUACUUUUAUGUUUUCUCUGAAGAAUAAUUUAAAUCUAGAUAAACAUUUGAGAGAGGUUCAGCUUUUUAGGAUGUAUAUCUUAUUUGAAGAUUAAAAAAAUAAAGCUAAAAUUAUCCAACUUCAGUGAAAAAUAUAACAUGUUUGAGCUGAAGCUGAAGCUGCUCUUACAGUAACACUGCGCUAAUGUGCAUGAUUUAAAAUGACAGUAAAUUUUGCUUCAUAUAGCUGAAUUAUUUUUUCUUUAGGGAUGAAAGUCAGACAGGCCACUCAUAUCUUGGCAAGUUUCUCUUUAAACCUAACUACAUAACUUUUAUUUCAGAGCUCAAAGUGAGUGGUCAGAGUUUUUGGAUCCUCCAGAGCUGGUCUACUGAAGAGGAGCCUCGUUUUCUCCCAAGACAUACUGUCAGUUAGCACACUCUGCUGGUCGGACUGAUCGCACACGUGUUGGAGGUCAAAUUAAACAAAAAUGUGUAUGUCGGCAAUGAAGAUAUUCAUCAUCCUACAAGUAAACCCAUCAAUGAAGCUGAUGGGAGAGCUCUAUCACCCUAAUCAGCAAAAUCUUGCAGUAAAAACAGCAGUUUUCCCCUUGGAUGAGAACUUUCUGCUACAUGUGCUUCAUGGGAGGUUUGGGAAUGCAGGCCAGAGCUGUGGUGCAUUGUAGUUGCAUUGCAUGUCAUGCUCUCACAGUGCAAUGGAUCUGCUCUGCAACACAGAACUUGGUCAUAAAACACCUCAUUACUUCAAAAUAUCUGUUUUUACUGAACUCUCAGCUGCCUCAGUGUUAUUUUCUAAAUUGAAGGUCAUUCUGUUUACUCUGGGUGCCUCAUUGAUAAAGCCAAUGGAGAACAUUUCUUGUCAGCAUUGUUUUGAGUGUAUUUAUAAAGUUUUAAUGGACAAAAGCUUGUGUGCCCAGCCAGCAUAGAACUGAGGCCAUGAAGUUCAGCAGUGCUACAUUAGAGUGCAUCAUGAGCCUAUUUACCAACAAAGUGUUAUUGGGCCUUGUACAAAAGAAAAACUUGCUUUUUACGGCUGCAGUUGCUCUGAAUAUUAAAGUUAAUAAUACAAAACUAUAACAAAGUAUAAUCUUAAAUGCUGAAGAUAUGUAUUUAGUUUCAGAGGUGUAUUUACAAGGUACCCAUAAGAAAAGAUAGUCCAUACUGGCCAGCUGAAACAUUAAAUUGAAUUUGUAUAAAAGCAUAAAUGAUCGAACUAUAAUCAUGCAUUUUUGUACUAAUACCAAAGUAAAUGGAAAUGAAUAAUUCUGCAGAUGAAUUACUUUUACUUUGGCUUCCAUUUCUUACUAAUUCUUCUUUUCUUUGGGUAAAAUUUUGGGCAUAAUACCUGUUUUUAUCAUCAUUUCUACUUUUUUGCUACAGCCAAUUCUCUAGUUAGGCUGCGAUUCUUCUUGGAAAAUAUGGAACUCUAGAUUUUCUGACCUGAAGAGGUGCCAUCUCAGAACUAUGAGUGUAACAGCAUAUUCCAAGGGAAGCUGCUUGACUGUGAAAAUAAGGAAAAUUUCAGCAUGUGUGAAUAAUAAAUAGGUGGUUUUUGCCACAGUGUCAACAGGCAAAGGUCAAAUGUUGUGAUUCUUUUCCACUGAUUAAUCUGAUGUAGCCUACCAUAUGAACAGAUUGUCCUUGAUAUCGCUUUACAUAAGCUCUACAAAUGAGUUUUGACCAAUCAGAAUCAAGUAUUUAAGAGCCUGAGAGUUCAAAAGGACAGGCAUAAAUCGAGUGUAAACUGGUUUGUGAUGGUAUUGUACUUCUGUGUGUCCUUGUAAUGAAAGUUGUAACUAAAUUUGGUGUGAUUGACAUUCA